rnacentral:tRNA from 1 species
GCGCCCGUAGCUCAAUUGGAUAGAGCACUGGCCUUCUAAGCCGGCGGUUACAGGUUCGGUUCCUGUCGGGGGGGGCA